GGCAUGGUGGCUUAGUGGUUAGAACGUUUGCCUCGCAACUCUGGGUAUAGGUGUUCGAAUCCCACCUCCGUCCCA